AAUAGGAGAAUGACAAAUAAGAUUUUUUAUCUUGAUUUUCCGCUUUUAAUUCCUGAAAAAAUUCAAAUUCAACUAAAAAUGCUAAAAAUUGGGAGGAAAAAUUUGAUUUGUCGUUCUCCUAUU
rfam:Gossypium arboreum cultivar AKA8401 contig_35069_1, whole genome shotgun sequence.